AUACAUGCAAGUCGAACGCAAUCUUUUAACAAUGAGUGCUUGCACUCAGCGUUUUAAGUGCGAGUGGCGAACGGGUGAGUAACACGUGGGCAAUCUGCCCAAAAGUGGGGGAUAACACUUGGAAACAGGUGCUAAUACCGCAUCAACCGGCUGACCGCAUGGUCGGCCGGGCAAAGACGGCGUCAGCUGUCGCUUUUGGAUGAGCCCGCGGCGUAUUAACUAGUUGGUAAGGUAACGGCUUACCAAGGUGAUGAUACGUAGCCGAACUGAGAGGUUGAUCGGCCACAUUGGGACUGAGACACGGCCCAAACUCCUACGGGAGGCAGCAGUAGGGAAUCUUCCACAAUGGACGCAAGUCUGAUGGAGCAACGCCGCGUGUAUGAAGAAGGUCUUCGGAUCGUAAAAUACUGUUGUCAGAGAAGAACACGUGAUAGAGUAACUGCUAUGGCGCUGACGGUAUCUGACCAGCAAGUCACGGCUAACUACGUGCCAGCAGCCGCGGUAAUACGUAGGUGGCAAGCGUUGUCCGGAUUUAUUGGGCGUAAAGGGAACGCAGGCGGUCUUUUAAGUCUGAUGUGAAAGCCUUCGGCUUAACCGGAGAAGUGCAUUGGAAACUGGAAGACUUGAGUGCAGAAGAGGAGAGUGGAACUCCAUGUGUAGCGGUGAAAUGCGUAGAUAUAUGGAAGAACACCAGUGGCGAAAGCGGCUCUCUGGUCUGUAACUGACGCUGAGGUUCGAAAGCGUGGGGAGCGAACAGGAUUA
rnacentral:rRNA from 1 species